UACGUAGGGACCAAGCGUUGUUCGGAUUUACUGGGCGUAAAGGGCGCGUAGGCGGCGCGGUAAGUCACUUGUGAAAUCUCUGAGCUUAACUCAGAACGGCCAAGUGAUACUGCAGUGCUAGAGUGUGGAAGGGGCAAUCGGAAUUCUUGGUGUAGCGGUGAAUGCGUAGAUAUCAGGAGGAACACCGGUGGCGAAGGCGGGUCUCUGUGCCGAUACUGACGCUGAGGAGCGAAAGCGUGGGGAGCGAACAGG
rnacentral:rRNA from 1 species